rnacentral:rRNA from 1 species
AUUGAACGCUGGCGGCAUGCCUUACACAUGCAAGUCGAACGGCAGCACGGGAGCAAUCCUGGUGGCGAGUGGCGAACGGGUGAGUAAUAUAUCGGAACGUGCCCAGUCGUGGGGGAUAACGUAGCGAAAGCUACGCUAAUACCGCAUACGAUCUAUGGAUGAAAGCGGGGGAUCGCAAGACCUCGCGCGAUUGGAGCGGCCGAUAUCAGAUUAGGUAGUUGGUGAGGUAAAGGCUCACCAAGCCGACGAUCUGUAGCUGGUCUGAGAGGACGACCAGCCACACUGGGACUGAGACACGGCCCAGACUCCUACGGGAGGCAGC